rnacentral:rRNA from 1 species
GGAUUAGAUACCCUGGUAGUCCACGCCGUAAACGAUGUCUACUAGCCGUUGGGAGGCUUGACCUCUUAGUGGCGAAGCUAACGCGAUAAGUAGACCGCCUGGGGAGUACGGUCGCAAGAUUAAAACUCAAAUGAAUUGACGGGGGCCCGCACAAGCGGUGGAGCAUGUGGUUUAAUUCGAUGCAACGCGAAAAACCUUACCAGGCCUUGACAUCCUGAGAACUUUCUAGAGAUAGAUUGGUGCCUUCGGGAACUCAGUGACAGGUGUUGCAUGGCUGUCGUCAGCUCGUGCCG